AGGAGGUUGGCAGGGUUCGGGCUAAGAUGCAGUAUCCAUGCGCCAUGCCCUGUUUGCAGCCAGCCCAUCCCAAGCGCGGAAGGCAGUGUGGCCGGCUUGAAGGCCCUGAGAACAGCUGGUGUUGGUGACCCUGGAGUGUGGCCAGCUCCAAGGCGGAGCCCCCGUGAGUGCCAGGAGGCUGUCCCAGCUCAGAGGUGGGCCCGGCUGCUGCUCGGGUUCCCAGACCUCUGCACCUCCCCUAGUACUUCACCAACUCCCACCCCCCGGUGGCUGGCAGGCAGCCCCAUGGAAACAGUCUGUUUGAUGAGACGUUACCCCUGGAAGCAGCCUCUGCUGUGGCGCCUUCGCCAGCCUCUCUGUGCAGGGGCGGGCACCCUCACGGCCUAGAAACAAAGACCCUGUCAAAAUGCAAAUGUUGCUGCUACCCAGAGAGAGUAACACAUGAACUUAUUACCAUUCAUUAUCGUCUGAGUGCCGUUUAUCAGCUUCCCAGCUGAGAACAGGGCCCCCGGGAGAAAGAAGGGUGCGGAGCAGAAACCUGCCAUUUCAACCCCAGAGUCACACGGUCUCUGCAAAAAGGAUGAAACUGAUACAGGCCAGACGCUGAGAUUCUCUUAAGGACACAGCGAGAGCCUGACCGCCCCCAGCCGGGCUGCAGGGGCAGUGACUCAGCGGCAGGAGAAUGGCCAAACAAGAACAACGCCGGGGGCGGUCAGAGCCACCCAAGUGUCAGCAGAGAGAAAAACUGUCCGUGAAUGAUCCCAGAGAGACCCACAGCAGACGCAUCGAGGUCCAGGGCUAAAAUCCACCCGGGUGGCCCCGCCUGGCAGGCAGCUGGCCCCACCCACGGGUGGUGGGUGAGGGAACGGGGGAAAUCCCAGCUUCUCUGGGUUGCCUGCCCUGGAAAUUCACAACAGGGGUCCCUACCUUGGCUGGCUGCCCACCCAUGCUCAGCCUCUCCUCCUGAGUCUCUGAGCUCCAAGGAGAUAGGGUUCCCAGGCUUGUACUUAACCUGCUUCUUGUCUCACUGAAUUCUUUUUGUACCUUUUCUGUGAUGAGCUAGCAGGUGCCAUUUAUCCAGCAAGAACUGAUCAGUUUACCAUCUUAAACUCAUUUUCUUGGUUUCUCUUGCUUUCCUUCAUCCGCAUUUGGGUUUCUGAGGUUCACUGCCUCAGCUCAAAGCUGAAGGGAGAUACUUCCAUAAGAUGCUUGCUUCUUGGGGAGAUUUAUAGGACUCAGGGUGACAAGGGAUGGAGUGUUUUAGCAUUUGUACCCCAGCUAUGCUUUGCACCAGACUAGAAGGGAUAUGGCCAGGCACCCUCCUCCCCAGAGUUCCCACCCCCAGAGGUCAAACAUUAAUCACCUCCUGGAAGCCUGUUGCAGGGUUUGUAAUGGAAAUGACUCUGUUGUCAUGGUAACCCUGGCUGGCCUGGCCAGGGGCUGCUCAAGGCCUGCCUGGCUCUUCUGGGUUUCAGGUUUUUUUUUUUUUUUUAAUUUUAUUUUAUUUUUAAACUUUACAUAAUUGUAUUAGUUUUGCCAAAUAUCAGAAUGAAUCCGCCACAGGUAUACAUGUGUUCCCCAUCCUGAACCCUCCUCCCUCCCCAUUCCCUGGGUUUCAGGUUUAUUUUACAAGCUGAGUGCCCCAGCCUGGUAGAUCUUAAGAUCAGCUUCUUGUGAUGAGGGGAAGGCUGUGAGUGACCUAGGCCUAAAUUAGUCGUUAGUCAACAAUGUGAUUCUAAAUCUGGUUCACCCAGUCCAGGAAGAUGAGACCUUUCACUACACCCCUAUCACACUGAGCGUUGAUUGGAUGUGUCCAUAGACUGGCAGAAUUGGGUAUUUUGAAAAAUCCUGGACUUUGGAGCAGACGCACCUGACUCUGCCAGUUAACAGCUGUGUGUCUUUGGGCAAGUUACUGAAACUCUCUGAUCUUCAGAUCCGCCUACCUCUCUAGUCAGGGAUAAUAAUACCUAGUUCACCGUGCAAUCCUUAGACUUCAAUAAGAUUCAAUAAUAAAAUAUGAUUAUAUAAUGUGAGAGUGACAAACCUUUUCAAUACAGGGCCAGACAGUAAAUAUCUUAGGUUUUAUAGGCCACACGAUCUCUGUUGCAACUACUCAAUUCUCUUCUUGGAGUUAAGUAAAGGGUGUAUGAACAAAACUUCAGAGUCCAUCAGCCUCCAGGUGACCCCUUGAUGGGUAGUCUGCAAGGAGCACGCAUUCAGGGCAGGAGGUGUGUCUGAAUGAAUGAUUCACAUCAUGGUCGUGCAGAGAAGGGACUCCAGUGAAGGCCAGCCCUGUGGUGAUCCAGGCGAGGGCAGGACAAGGAAUUUAGGCUGCCACGGGCUCUGCAGGGCCCUGCGUGUCUCUGGGGAGGUGUGCGAGCACCAGGUGACCUAUGUGCUGACCUGUGGUUUGUUACCGCUCUUAACCAAGGCCUUCCUCAAAGAGGUUUGCUGGGAAUGAGGGAAGGGUUCGGGGUACCUAAGCUACUCACAGCACUCUGAUUUACACAGGCUCCAGGAAGUGGGGUUUUCCUGGCCCCUCUAAGAGUGAAGGGGGUUUGAAGCUAUUUUUAAUUUCAAUUCGCAGGUUCCAAACAACCAGGAAGAUGCUCAGCCUUGUUGAGGGUGGGUGCAGGCCUCAGCCCACCUCCUUGUGAGACAGGAGGCCGGGUCCUCGGGGCCAGGAGGCUGAGGGCUGUGUGCGUCUUUCUUUCCAGGGUGCUGGUUCACUGCUGUGGAGCAGAACCCACUUUCAGAGCUCAGGCAGUGACUUUCCAGGCUGGAGACCGAUGGGUCAGGCUGUUGGUGUCAGGGCAUCAUGAGGGAGCUAGAGGUUGGUCCGGUCUAGAUGAGUGACCAUGUGACCACAAGGAAGGUUUCUCCCAUUCAGAGCCUCAGUUUACCUCUCUGUAAAAUUGGCUCAUCCCUGUACCCUGCCCGUCUCUGAGAGGCCCAGGUGUGGGGAGCGAGCUAGCUGCCGGGGCUGUGGGCACAGGCGGUACACGACUCCCCGAGAGUUCUAUUUCUGUGCUUUGUGCUGAUGACUCGGUGUUUUCUCCCAACAAUAGCCUAGCAGCUGUUCCUCCCUGCUCACCCCUGUGGCAUUCCCGUGCAAGGGAGUGUUUCUAGCCUCGCUGACCGCUUCUGGUGCCGCGGGACACUUUCUUCAGCUCCUAAUACCAAAGCCUUACAAGUGUACAGCACUUGACAGUUUACAAAGCAACUUCGGACACCGGACGGGGCUGAUUUCAUCUCCAUAACAACCCUUUGAGGUUGGCUAGGUUGGCAGGUCCAGGUCCCAGUUAGGAAUGAGGAAUCCCAGGUAGAUGGGUUCACCUCGUGCCUGGUCCACGCCACCAGCGGGGUCAGGGCUGGGACGGGGCUGGCUCACCCCCCUGUCCAGGGCCACUGCAUCCAUGUAACCUCUGCCUCUUCAAAACUUCUCUGGAAACCUGGUCCCUGUAGAGACAAACACACAUGAUUGUUCUGCCUUACAUCUAGUUUUUCACUGUAACAAAAAUAUUAAGGAAUACUUUGAGGGCUUCCCUGGUGUCUCAGUUGGUAAAGAAUCUGUCUGCAAUGUAGGAGAUUGCCUGCAAUACAGGAGACCUGGGUUCGAUCCCAGGGUUGGGAAGUUCCCCUG